AGUAAAGUUUUAUAAAGAUUUUAUGUUUUAGUAAAAUUUAUGAAUGAAUAGUUUGAUUAAUAGAGAUAAGUAAUGUGAAUGAAUUUUGUGGAAAUUAAAUAAGUAAAAUAUAUUUUGUACCUUUUGUAUCAGGGUUAAUUAAUAUAAUUUAAUUAGAUUAAUAUUCUCGAAAGAAAAAGAGUUAAAUAUAUAAUUAUGUUAUUGUGGAAAAAAUAAUUAAAAUAUAUAUUUAGAAAUUAGAUGUUAAUCGAUUUUUUUUAUAUCUAGUUUUUUUUGAAAUAAAUUUAAUUUAUAUAUAAGGAUUAUAAAAAAUUUAUUUUUAAAUUUAUUAUAUUUUUAUAUAAAAAAUUUAUGGGAUAAUCUAUAAAUUUAAAUAUAUAAUUUUUAUUUUAAAUUAAAAUUAAAUUGAUUUAAAAAUAAUUUUUUUAAAUAAGUAUUUAAUAAUUUAAUUUAUAAAUAUAUUAAAGAUUUAUAUAGUAAAAUUUAAAUAUUUAAAAUAAAUAUAUAUAUAUAUUUGUUAAGAAAAAAUAAUUUUUAAUAAGUAUAAAUUAAGUAUAAUGAUUAAAUAAGUAAUAAAGUUUAAAUAAAUAUAAAAUAAUUUUGUUUAUAAUAUAAAUAAAUAUUAUAAUAUAUAUAUAUAUAUAUAAGGAAUUAGGCAAAUUAAAUAUAUUCACCUGUUUAUCAAAAACAUGGCUUAAUGAUAAUAAUUUUAAGUCAAUCUGCUCAAUGAAGAAUAAUUUAAAUGGCUGCAGUAUAAUUAACUGUACAAAGGUAGCAUAAUCAAUUGUUUUUUAAUUGAAAACUGGAAUGAAAGAAUUAAUGAGAUAUAUACUGUCUCAUAUAUAUUUAAUGAAAUUAAAUUUUUAGUAAAAAUGCUAAAAUAAAUUUAUGGGACGAUAAGACCCUAUAGAAUUUUAUAUUAAUAAAUUAGAUUUUAUUAAAUUUUAAUAAUUAAUAUUUAAUUGGGAGGAUUAAUAAAUUUAAUAAACUUUAUUUUAAAUUUAAACUUUAAUUUGAGGAUAAAAUUUAUGAUCUUGUAUUAUAAAUUAUAAGAAAAAAUUACCUUAGGGAUAACAGCGUAAUAUCUUUUUAAAGAUCAAAUUAAUAAAGAUGAUUGCGACCUCGAUGUUGAAUUAAGAUAAAUUUUAAAUGAAGAAGUUUAAUAAUUAAGUCUGUUCGACUUUUAAAAUCUUACAUGAUUUGAGUUCAAAUCGACGUGAGUCAGAUUGGUUUCUAUCUAUAAAAUAGUUUAAAUUAUUUGUACGAAAGGACUAUAAUUUAUAAUUAUAUUAUGAAAUUAUUUAUAAUAAAU
rnacentral:rRNA from 1 species